rnacentral:rRNA from 1 species
AGGGGGUGACAGCCCCGUAAACAAAAAUGCACAUAUUGUGAGCUCGAUGAGUAGGGCGGGACACGUGGUAUCCUGUCUGAAUAUGGGGGGACCAUCCUCCAAGGCUAAAUACUCCUGACUGACCGAUAGUGAACCAGUACCGUGAGGGAAAGGCGAAAAGAACCCCGGCGAGGGGAGUGAAAAAGAACCUGAAACCGUGUACGUACAAGCAGUGGGAGCACGCUUAGGCGUGUGACUGCGUACCUUUUGUAUAAUGGGUCAGCGACUUAUAUUCUGUAGCAAGGUUAACCGAAUAGGGGAGCCGAAGGGAAACCGAGUCUUAACUGGGCGUUAAGUUGCAGGGUAUAGACCCGAAACCCGGUGAUCUAGCCAUGGGCAGGUUGAAGGUUGGGUAACACUAACUGGAGGACCGAACCGACUAAUGUUGAAAAAUUAGCGGAUGACUUGUGGCUGGGGGUGAAAGGCCAAUCAAACCGGGAGAUAGCUGGUUCUCCCCGAAAGCUAUUUAGGUAGCGCCUCGUGAAUUCAUCUCCGGGGGUAGAGCACUGUUUCGGCAAGGGGGUCAUCCCGACUUACCAACCCGAUGCAAACUGCGAAUACCGGAGAAUGUUAUCACGGGAGACACACGGCGGGUGCUAACGUCCGUCGUGAAGAGGGAAACAACCCAGACCGCCAGCUAAGGUCCCAAAGUCAUGGUUAAGUGGGAAACGAUGUGGGAAGGCCCAGACAGCCAGGAUGUUGGCUUAGAAGCAGCCAUCAUUUAAAGAAAGCGUAAUAGCUCACUGGUCGAGUCGGCCUGCGCGGAAGAUGUAACGGGGCUAAACCAUGCACCGAAGCUGCGGCAGCGACGCUUAUGCGUUGUUGGGUAGGGGAGCGUUCUGUAAGCCUGCGAAGGUGUGCUGUGAGGCAUGCUGGAGGUAUCAGAAGUGCGAAUGCUGACAUAAGUAACGAUAAAGCGGGUGAAAAGCCCGCUCGCCGGAAGACCAAGGGUUCCUGUCCAACGUUAAUCGGGGCAGGGUGAGUCGACCCCUAAGGCGAGGCCGAAAGGCGUAGUCGAUGGGAAACAGGUUAAUAUUCCUGUACUUGGUGUUACUGCGAAGGGGGGACGGAGAAGGCUAUGUUGGCCGGGCGACGGUUGUCCCGGUUUAAGCGUGUAGGCUGGUUUUCCAGGCAAAUCCGGAAAAUCAAGGCUGAGGCGUGAUGACGAGGCACUACGGUGCUGAAGCAACAAAUGCCCUGCUUCCAGGAAAAGCCUCUAAGCAUCAGGUAACAUCAAAUCGUACCCCAAACCGACACAGGUGGUCAGGUAGAGAAUACCAAGGCGCUUGAGAGAACUCGGGUGAAGGAACUAGGCAAAAUGGUGCCGUAACUUCGGGAGAAGGCACGCUGAUAUGUAGGUGAAGUCCCUUGCGGAUGGAGCUGAAAUCAGUCGAAGAUACCAGCUGGCUGCAACUGUUUAUUAAAAACACAGCACUGUGCAAACACGAAAGUGGACGUAUACGGUGUGACGCCUGCCCGGUGCCGGAAGGUUAAUUGAUGGGGUCAGCGCAAGCGAAGCUCUUGAUCGAAGCCCCGGUAAACGGCGGCCGUAACUAUAACGGUCCUAAGGUAGCGAAAUUCCUUGUCGGGUAAGUUCCGACCUGCACGAAUGGCGUAAUGAUGGCCAGGCUGUCUCCACCCGAGACUCAGUGAAAUUGAACUCGCUGUGAAGAUGCAGUGUACCCGCGGCAAGACGGAAAGACCCCGUGAACCUUUACUAUAGCUUGACACUGAACAUUGAGCCUUGAUGUGUAGGAUAGGUGGGAGGCUUUGAAGUGUGGACGCCAGUCUGCAUGGAGCCGGCCUUGAAAUACCACCCUUUAAUGUUUGAUGUUCUAACGUGGACCCGUGAUCCGGGUUGCGGACAGUGUCUGGUGGGUAGUUUGACUGGGGCGGUCUCCUCCUAAAGAGUAACGGAGGAGCACGAAGGUUGGCUAAUCCUGGUCGGACAUCAGGAGGUUAGUGCAAUGGCAUAAGCCAGCUUGACUGCGAGCGUGACGGCGCGAGCAGGUGCGAAAGCAGGUCAUAGUGAUCCGGUGGUUCUGAAUGGAAGGGCCAUCGCUCAACGGAUAAAAGGUACUCCGGGGAUAACAGGCUGAUACCGCCCAAGAGUUCAUAUCGACGGCGGUGUUUGGCACCUCGAUGUCGGCUCAUCACAUCCUGGGGCUGAAGUAGGUCCCAAGGGUAUGGCUGUUCGCCAUUUAAAGUGGUACGCGAGCUGGGUUUAGAACGUCGUGAGACAGUUCGGUCCCUAUCUGCCGUGGGCGCUGGAGAACUGAGGGGGGCUGCUCCUAGUACGAGAGGACCGGAGUGGACGCAUCACUGGUGUUCGGGUUGUCAUGCCAAUGGCACUGCCCGGUAGCUAAAUGCGGAAGAGAUAAGUGCUGAAAGCAUCUAAGCACGAAACUUGCCCCGAGAUGAGUUCU